CACAAGGAUAAUAACAACUUUCCAUAUUCUGUGGGAUGUAUUUGACCUGUUAUAAUUUUCUGUAAAAUUGAUCAUGGACAAUUAUUCAAUUACAUGCAUGUCUUUCUUACAUCUGUCCUAUGUUACAACAAAUUGAACAUGCUAUCCAUUAAUAUAUCUGUUUUCUUCAAGAGUCCAACAGUACAGGGUGCGGCAGAAUCUGAAAGCUGUUGAUCCUGUUGGCAAUGUACUUCGGGGGCUUCAGCUUAACAUCGUCCCAAGGGUCCCAUACUCUGUUCCAGGUCCUCUCUCCCUGUGUAACCAUAAACUGAUUCGGGCAAGUGCACUUCUCAGGUGGCUGACCCAGCUACUUACUUAUCCGACUGCAGGACUGACUGUUGGACCGACGGAUGGACUGACAGACAGACCAACUCCUGGACCAAGUGCUGGAACGACUCCUCCACCAGGAAGGGAACUGACUGCGGGACUGACUCAUGGACCAAGUAGUGGACUGACUCAUGGACCAAGUAGUGGACCAAGUAGUGGACUGACUCAUGGACCAAGUAGUGGACUGACUCAUGGACCAAGUAGUGGACUGACUCAUGGACCAAGUAGUGGACUGACUGCUGGACCGACUCACGGACCAAGCAGUGGACUGACUGCUGGACCGACUCACGGACCAAGCAGUGGACUGACUGCUGGACCGACACACCCCAGAUUGCACGGAGCACCAUAACUACUAACGUUGCUCUACCAUGCAGAAACACCAUUUCUCUUUCACCCACAGAGUCCAUUACAUCUCACAAACAACAGAGGGAGCCAGAGCUGUUAGCUGCAGAACCCUGUGGGGGAAACCCAAUCACUGAGGUGGAUACCAAAACGAUGAUGAUGAAGGGAAAAAUGAAAAGCGAAAAACUGAUUAAAACCCAAACAUCUGAGUUAUCCACCUCCAUCCCAAACAGGGUUUCUGUGGCAGCACCUGGCUCCCCAGGGUGCCCAGAACCACACACACACCAAAACUGGUCAUACUACUUUUCCUAACGCCACCAUUUACAUCCCUGUAAUAAACUUCUCCACCAGGUUGAACAGACGCCAACAGGCACUACUAACCACUCUGAAUGAAACAAUAACUUCAAAAUACACCUUUCUUGCAGAAAUUAAUCCACUUCCUUUUUCAAACAGCCAGAGACAACAUUGGACUGCAGACACGGCCGAGAUGUUGUUCAAGUACUGGAAACAACAAUUAAACUACUAAGGGGGACAAACUGUCAUAAUACAACCCCCAUUCACUCAAAUAUAACAAAUCUUUCUGCUGUUUUCUCCCUUACACCCACACAGCUGGAGAUACUGGAAAGGGGACUCACCUUUAUUCCAACACCAAAACCUCCCACCCGGCCGGAGCUCAGGGGGGACCUACACACCUUUCACAGGAGGCUGAAACUUUUUGACCAUUUUCAGGGAACGCAGAGGCGGGAGCCUGUGCUCUUUACCGGACCGUCCUACUGGGAACCACACAUAGACACAUUAACACCACAAAUUGCACAAUUAAUCAAUAAAAACAACCAAGCACUCACACAUUGGCGCCCCUUACCACACAAAACACCCAACAUUAGUCAGGAACACAAAGACAUUAUUAAAUCAUUAGGUAAUAACAAAUACAUAGUCAUAAAACCAGCAGACAAAGGGGGCCAAAUAGUCAUACAGGAUAAGAACAACUACUAUUUUAGAAGCCAACAGACAAUUAAAUAACACAUAUUACAGACCACUCACUCACCCAUUACAGUUAGAAACACAAACACUUAUCAAGGACAUUACAGACAACCUUUAUCAAAACAAAUACAUUAACUUUAAACAGAAGAAAUACCUGGACGGUCCGGAUGAGCCCAGGCCUCGCCUCUUUUAUCUCCUCCCUAAGAUCCACAAGCCUCCUGUGACUUGGACGGUCUCCUUUGUUGUUCUGGUCGGCAGACCAAUAGUAAGUGACUGCAGAUCAGAAUCAUACAACAUCACAGAAUACAUAGACCAUUUCAUUAACCCACUUUCUAAACUUCACCCUAGCUAUAUCCAAGAUACAUAUGAAUUUGUUAAUAAAAUAAAAAACCUCCAGGUACCCGGUCACACACUCCUUUUUUCAAUAGAUAGACUCAUUAUACACAAACAUAGAAACACCACUUGGCCUCGCUGCAAUAAAACACAUUUUUGAUAAACACCCAGACCAAUCCAGACCUGACAGCCAAAUUUUACAGUUACUCCAUAUCACACUUACCAGAAAUGACUUCACCUUUAACAAUAAACACUAUCUCCAGCCGGAAGUAUUCCCUGUCAUACGCGGACAUCUACCUGUCUACCAAUCUACCCAUUGGGAGGAAACCGCUUUCCACAAACUCGCCAUCAAACCUCUGCUUUACUUCCGGUACUUGGACGACAGCUCGGAAUCGGUCGAGAAGAAAAGAGGCUGCUGGAAGUGAGACAGACUGUGCCGGCUGCGGGUGAGGUGGGCAUUUGUUAGUGCGCCACCAUAGACCUGAUGAUCCAAAAUACAGGACAACGCACCAUAGACAGUCUGCAAAAUGGACCGAAUUCAGACCAAAUGCUGCCGGUUACCAACAGCUCCGAGGUGGCCGCGGGUUAGGUGUGGACAGUGCUGCUUCUCGUGAGGGUGGGAUAUUUGUUGUGUGUGCUGUGUGUC